rnacentral:rRNA from 1 species
AUUGAACGCUGGCGGCAUGCUUUACACAUGCAAGUCGAACGGUAACAGGCCUUCGGGCGCUGACGAGUGGCGAACGGGUGAGUAAUGCAUCGGAACGUGCCCAGUCGUGGGGGAUAACGCAGCGAAAGCUGUGCUAAUACCGCAUACGAUCUGCGGAUGAAAGCGGGGGACCUUCGGGCCUCGCGCGAUUGGAGCGGCCGAUGUCAGAUUAGGUAGUUGGUGGGGUAAAGGCCCACCAAGCCGACGAUCUGUAGCUGGUCUGAGAGGACGACAGGCCACAAUGGGACUGGGAGACGGACCAGACUCCUACGGGAGGCAGCAGUGGGGAAUUUUGGACAAUGGGCGCAAGCCUGAUCCAGCAAUGCCGCGUGCAGGAAGAAGGCCUUCGGGUUGUAAACUGCUUUUGUACGGAGCGAAAAGGCUCCCUCUAAUACAGGGGGCUCAUGACGGUACCGUAAGAAUAAGCACCGGCUAACUACGUGCCAGCAGCCGCCGCGG